UUCUUAAAGCCCAGCUAGGAGGGUAGGGACACACUGAAAACGGAAGUGGGAGGGUCUCCGGGACAGUCAAAGGUUCAGCAGCAGGAAGUUCUUUUUUUUGAGACGAAGUCUUGCUCUUGUCGCCCAGGCUGGAGUGCAAUGGCACGAUCUCGGCUCACUGCAACCUCCGCUUCCCAGGUUCAAGCGAUUCUCCUGCCUCAGCCUCCUGAGUAGCUGGGAAUACAGGCGCCCACCAUCACGCCCGGCUAAUUAUUUUUGUAUUUUUAGUAGAGACGGGGUUUCGCCAUGUUGGGCAGGCUGGUGAACUCCUGACUUCAGGUGAUCCGCCCACCUAGGCCUCCCAAAGUGCUGGGAUUACAGCUUAUAAAUUUCUAGAAUCAUAUAGCCUAAAGGAGGCUGACAGAUCUGGCCCAAAGUUACACCCACUGCAGGAACUGCCCUAUGAUUUCUUCUUGAACACUUCCAGAAGCUGAACCUCUCCUUGUUUGUCUCUUCCAGAAUUGAAACUAUAAAACUACAAAUGGUUCUUCAAAUGGAGCCCGAGAUGGAGUCCAUGACUAAGAUCCACUGUGGACCCCUGGACCGGCCUGCUAGCCCAUGCUCCAAUGUUAAUGACGUCGAAGGCACCCCUCCCGAGGAAAUCUGAACUGCACAACCCCUACUAUGCCCCAAUUCAGCAGGAAGCAGAGCGGUCAUUGGCCAACCUCCCCAACAGCACUUGGGUUUUUUCCUGUUGCGAGGGGGUACUGAGAGACAGGACUAGCUGGAUUUCCUAGGCCGACUAAGAAUCCCUAAGCCUAGCUGGGAAGGUGACCGCAUCCACCUUUAAACACGGGGCUUGCAACUUAGCUCACACCCAACCAAUCAGAGAGCUCACUGAAAUGCUAAUUAGGCAAAAACAGGAGGUAAAGAUAUAGUCAAUCAUCUAUUGCGUGAGAGCACAGCAGGAGGGACAAGGAUCAGGAUUUAAGCCCAGGCAUUCGAGCAACCCCCUUUGGGUCCCCUCCCUUUGUAUGAGAGCUCUGUUUUCAUUAUAUUUCACUCUAUUAAAUCUUGCAACUGCA